rnacentral:rRNA from 1 species
UACGUAGGGUGCAAGCGUUAAUCGGAAUUAUUUGGGCGUAAAGAGCUCGUAGGCGGUUUGUCGCGUCGAAUGUGAAACCCGGGGCUCAACCCCGGGCCGCUUCGAUACGGGCAGACUAGAGUUCGGUAGGGGAGUCUGGAAUUCCUGGUGUAGCGGUGAAAUGCGCAGAUAUCAGGAGGAACACCGGUGGCGAAGGCGGGACUCUGGGCCGAUACUGCGCUGAGGAGCGAAAGCGUGGGGAGCAAA